rnacentral:rRNA from 1 species
AACGAACGCUGGCGGCAUGCCUAACACAUGCAAGUCGAACGAGACCUUCGGGUCUAGUGGCGCACGGGUGCGUAACGCGUGGGAACCUGCCCUUAGGUUCGGAAUAACUCCCCGAAAGGGGUGCUAAUACCGGAUAAUGUCUUCGGACCAAAGAUUUAUCGCCUUUGGAUGGGCCCGCGUUGGAUUAGCUAGUUGGUAGGGUAAAAGCCUACCAAGGCGACGAUCCAUAGCUGGUCUGAGAGGAUGAUCAGCCACACUGGGACUGAGACACGGCCCAGACUCCUACGGGAGGCAGCAGUGGGGAAUAUUGAACAAUGGGCGAAAGCCUGAUCCAGCAAUGCCGCGUGAGUGAUGAAGGCCUUAGGGUUGUAAAGCUCUUUUGCCCGGGAUGAUAAUGACAGUACCGGAAGAAUAAGCUCCGGCUAACUCCGUG